AUCAACACUCCAUCUAGGAAUAAACACGGCAGCAACAACAUCAGUGAUGACAUCAACUUUGGUAUCAUACAAAGCUGAUGGAGUAAAUGUGACUAGGAGAGAAUAACUGAGGCAGUUUUCCUCCUGAAACACCACAAAGUCCAGUGUUCAUGUUUAGAGUCAGUCAGUCUCUGUU